UAUAAUAUAGCAAAAAAGUGCAUUGAUUUUAAGCAUCAAAUAUAAAGAAUUUAAUUAUUUAUUCUUUUAUUAUAA
rnacentral:tRNA from 1 species